CCUCCCCAGGUCAUGGUGUUUCAUCGAGGCAAUAGUAACCCUAACUAAGACAGCACUUUAGGAUGGUAUGUUUAAUAAUUAGAGUUUAUUAGAAUUCCUAAGGUGAUAAUGACCUAUUCUUGGUAACAAAAACUAACUUAAAAAAACUUUUUAAAAGCCAGGUGCGCUGUCACAUACCUGUAAUCCCAGCACUGUUUGAGAUCAGCCUGGUCUACAGAGUGAGAGCCAGGGCAGCACAGAGAAAAACAAACAAACAGACAAAAGUGUGUCUAAUCCAGAUAAUCACUUCAGUUGUUUGAUAAUUCUGUUAAACUUUAGCCACUUGGGGAACCUGAGCCAUAUCUAAGCCAGUUUUAUUUAAAACUCCUUGGGUUGCUUUGCUUAGACUUUAUCUAAAUGCUAUACAGAGUUUAAAGCAUAAGACCAAUAAAGCUGUCCUUCUGGGUGUUCAGCAAAUCUUGAAAUCCUACACAAAAAGGGAUAAAAGGCUCAAAGAGGACACCCAAUAUUUUGGCCCUUGAGAUCCAUGGUGAACCAGAACUCAGGGGACAACGAGACCUCUCUGAUAAGUUGCCCGUCCUUUUGAUCAGAGAAACCAUUGGGCCUACAGAGAUUAAAUUCUAGCCAAGUGCAUCCUACAAUAAAGGAAGUCACUUGAGUCCUGGGGUUAUAUAUGGUACAAUAUAGAAGUUAUAAUUAUAUGGGGUCCACACCAGUCUACCUCACGUGUAUGUGACGGAUGUGCAACUUACCAUUGAAAAGGAGGUUAUGAAAACUAAAAUAUAUUCAGAUGGCAAUGGACUACAUCUUCAGAUAGACAAUGAUGCCCCCCCCCCAGCUGCUACUGCUGAUAAUGUGGGUAAAAUCAUCUGUCCCCUGAUACGUGCAAAAGGGAAACAUUGCUAGUGCUGGGGCAACCACAGAGCAGAUGGAGAAACAGAACUAGAAACUUCCCUAAAAUUGGGGGAGGGGAGAACUGGCAUUUGUGACAAGCCACAUUAAUUUACAGCCUGUUAAGUAAAUGGGACCCCAAUUGCAACAGGAAUGGCUGUUUAAGACUGAAAAUGGGGGCUAUUGAACAUUUAAAUAUGAAAAGAUAGCCAUCCUGAGGCCAUUGUCCCUGCUUUUGUUAAAUAGCUCCGUGAGAGAACUCAUGUGAGCCAGGCAGCUCUAGAAACCAUAUUAGACCGACACUUUUAUGUUUCCUGGCUUGCCAGAAUAUUCGAUGAACCUGUGAACAAUGAGACCCUGUUCCCAAAAUAACUCUUGACAGUGACUUCCCAAAAUACAGGAUUUUAGAAAAGUCCAAUUUAAAAAAAAAUUGUUGUUGUCUUUACAGAACUUCCCCAAAUCAGGAGUUACAAAUACUUGCUUGUCUUUGUACUUUCUUGGGUUGGAUAAAAGUCUUUUCUAUGCAGUAGCCUAACUUCUAAAAGAAAGUGCCCCUGGGCCUGAUAUUCCUAUUAUUGUAGGGUCAGACAAUAGGCCAGGAUUUAAGGCAAACUCUACAAUACCUUGUUAUAUAAAGAACAUAAUGCUAAUAGAGUUCACUUUGGUUUUACUUUUGCAAAGUAUGCUGAUAAAAAUUAGAUAUGGAGAUUUACUACUUCAAUAAUAUGGAUCAAAUGUAAAAUACAUGACACUUGCAUGAUAUUCCCCAGGCUAAAAUAGUACUCCUUCUUUGGAUGGGACACAGACCCCACUGGAAUAAUUGCAAGUUAGGUGCUGCAUGUUACAGAAUAAGAACACUUGGGAAAACAGCUCUCACCAGAGCCUGUUGCUCCUGUUCCCAAGUGUGCAGGCAGGGCCACCAAACCCCCUCCUUACUGACAGAGGUGAGCUACUCCUCAAGUUUCACACAACAGGAGAUGGAUUCUUUUGCCUAAUGGGGCAUUUUGGAACCUGGACCACACUAUGAACAUCUCAAACAAGGGAGGGGCAGAUGGCAAGUACUCUGCACUCAUCCCACAAGUUGAAAUAUGAUGGCGCUAUGGACAAGGGACUUUUUACCCAAGCCUACCACCAGUGGCUGGGACCUGAACACUGGCUCAUCAGCCAUACCAUUUACCCUGGUCUUCCAUUCUCCUCCUCUAAUCCCAGCGUUAAGAGGACAACACCCAAGUCCUUUGAUAUCUACAUUGUUCUCCAAAGUUGUACCAGGCUUUACAGCUGCAGCAUUUUAAACACAUUUUCUGACAGCACAAUUACAAAACUAACCCAGCCACAUAAGAAGGUAAGUAAAGUCAAGCUUUAACUCUCAGAAUACAGUAGAGUCCCUGGCAUUGCACAUAAAACCCUGCUGGAAAUGAGUGCUUGUUUUUAAAUCUUUCCCUAUUAUAAUAAAUCUGCUGGAGAUGAUUUCCUGGCCUCAGCACAAUAGAAUGAAGCCAGCUUUUUACAACUGGGAAUGUUCCUGACCUGUCAACACUAUGUAAACUGACCAUCCGGAGAGGCCAUGCUCUGAUGCCAGAAGAGUCACUGAGUGUGAGGAUUUGACUACCUACAGAAACAACACCAUUGUCCCAGGAGAAGUCCCAGGACAUCUUGAAAGCUGAAAGACUCUACAGACUGCACCAUUCAAAACAGAAUGGAGGCCUGGGGAGUCAGCCCAAACCUCGGGAGAGGAGCACAAGAAAAAGGAGGGGAAUCCAACAAGGCUCGGUCACUGUGAAGACUCCUCAUGGAUAACACUUACCUUAUGCAACACAGAUCCAUUAUUGCUUGUCGGAAGAUAUGCUGCAGCACCCAGUAGGCAGCCACAGCCUUGCUUCAGACCAGGAAUUUUUGAACAAAAAAGAGCCAUAGUCUUCCAAUCACUUUCAGAGAACAGCAAAAAGCUACAUUCAAAGAACCCUGAUGAUAAUGAAUAUGCUAAUAUGAUUUUUACCAGGUCUCUACACACUUUCAAAGAAAUACUUUGACCUUCCACAUAGAUUCAAAGCUUCCAUUGAAGUCCGAAGGGGGUUUGGGCUUAAAUAACAUGAAAGUUUUUACAUAAAUGGAUACAACUAAGGAGUUAUGAAUUAAAAGUGAAUUUCACAUUGUCCCCAAAAGCUCUGACCUUGAAUGAGACACAUAGGUCCUAAUUGGUUGCCAGUGGACCUUCUGGCCAGACAGCUGUUACCUUUAGGAAGAAUGAGCCAGGAAGCAUUAACUGGAGUCCUUUCUGCAUGACAAGUGAGCUCUGGAAACGUGGAUUCAAAUUCCAGCUCUGCAACUCAUUAGCCGCAGGCUGAGCUGAUUGCACUCAACUUGCUCAAGUGUAAAAGGCUUAGUGAUUCCUUGCUGGUAGUCUGUAUUCCAGAGGGGCUAGGCAUCUACCCAAUCACAGCACAUCCAAGGCAUGGAGAUCCCACUACCAUACCACCCCCAGCCUCCCAUAUUCUCCCUUCUUCCAACACAUAGAGAGGAGGUACCCCGGAUUCAGCUGUCAACAAGCCAGAUGAAUGGGAGCUGCCAUAUCAAUGAGAGGAACUGGAGCUAAACCAGGAGCAACCAACAAUCUCUGAGAGGUGCAAGUUGCGGAGGAGAAUGAAAAGAGCAAAGUCUUAACCACAUGCAGACCUGCAUUCCAAUCCCAUCUCAUGGUUUCCUGGCUGUAACUCUUAGAAGAGGCUUUUGAUGGCAUUAUUCUCAUUGAAAGACCCCAAGCGGGGGACUUUCACGGGAGGGAGACCCAAACCCAAGGAUCAACGAAACCACGAGCUUGGAUGCAACAGCAAGAGGCUUUAUUGAUAAUACACGGGUACCCGGGGCAUCUCAGUCUCGGGAACUGAGAGCCCCGAGCUGGGGACUCAGGGGUCCUUUUAUAGCAAAAAGCGGAGUACAGAAGCAAGAAGCCUAGUUACAGGACCUUGAUUGGACAAUGAGGCCGGGGCUCACAGAAUGAGGGCUAUUGAGGUUUCUCUCAGAACUCAAGUCUCGGCCUUGGCCCUAUCUGAGGAACAAUAGGUCUCUGUGCCUGCCCAAUCUUGCUGGGCUGGCUAUGCGGACGCUAUGCAGAUA